UACGUAGGGGGCUAGCGUUGUCCGGAAUCAUUGGGCGUAAAGCGCGUGUAGGCGGUCCGGUAAGUCCGCUGUGAAAGUCGAGGGCUCAACCCUCGAAUGCCGGUGGAUACUGUCGGGCUAGAGUGCGGAAGAGGCGAGUGGAAUUCCUGGUGUAGCGGUGAAAUGCGUAGAGAUGUGGAGGAACACCGAUGGCGAAGGCAGCCUCCUGGGCCAACACUGACGCUCAUGCACGAAAGCGUGGGGAGCAAACAGG
rnacentral:rRNA from 1 species